rnacentral:ncRNA from 12 species
GUUUCCGUAGGUGAACCUGCGGAAGGAUC